rnacentral:misc_RNA from 1 species
GUGAAUUUUGAGUGCUUCUAUAUGAAGGCUCGACCUCCACUUCUAACACUGUGCAUUAACAAAUUUGGUUAGGUUUUUGAGACGCAAGUCUCUAUAAGCCAGCCUUAUUUAUUCAUUACAAACUUCAGUUAAAGAAUGUAACAAACCAAAAACAAAA